rnacentral:rRNA from 1 species
AACAGGAUUAGAUACCCUGGUAGUCCACGCCGUAAACGAUGUCGACUUGGAGGUUGUGCCCUUGAGGCGUGGCUUCCGGAGCUAACGCGUUAAGUCGACCGCCUGGGGAGUACGGCCGCAAGGUUAAAACUCAAAUGAAUUGACGGGGGCCCGCACAAGCGGUGGAGCAUGUGGUUUAAUUCGAUGCAACGCGAAGAACCUUACCUGGUCUUGACAUCCAGAGAAUCCUGCAGAGAUGCGGGAGUGCCUUCGGGAACUCUGAGACAGGUGCUGCAUGGCCGUCGUCAGCUCGUGUUGUGAAAUGUUGGGUUAAGUCCCGCAACGAGCGCAACCCUUAUCCUUUGUUGCCAGCGGUCCGGCCGGGAACUCAAAGGAGACUGCCGGUGAUAAACCGGAGGAAGGUGGGGAUGACGUCAAGUCAUCAUGGCCCUUACGACCAGGGCUACACACGUGCUACAAUGGCGCAUACAAAGAGAAGCGACCUCGCGAGAGCAAGCGGACCUCAUAAAGUGCGUCGUAGUCCGGAUUGGAGUCUGCAACUCGACUCCAUGAAGUCGGAAUCGCUAGUAAUCGUGGAUCAGAAUGCCACGGUGAAUACGUUCCCGGGCCUUGUACACACCGCCCGUCACACCAUGGGAGUGGGUUGCAAAAGAAGUAGGUAGCUUAACCUUCGGGAGGGCGCUUACCACUUUGUGAUUCAUGACUGGGGUGAAGUCGUAACAAGGUAACC